CCGACAUUCUCAGUUGUUUUGUGCGGUAAAGCGAAUGAUUAGCGCACUCGGGGGCAUUUUGUCUUCGGGCGAUUCUCAAACUUUCAAUGCGCAAGGGCGCCGGUGCUUUGUUAGAGCGGCGCCGGGAAAAACGUCGGCCCUGUGGGCCACUUUUGGUAAGCAGAACUGGCGAUACGGGAUGAACCGUAAGCGCGGUUAAGGCGCCUGACUGCCCGCUUAUAGACCCCACAAAAGGUGUUGAUUCAUCGAGACAGCAGGACGGUGGCCAUGGAAGUCGGAAUCCGCUAAGGAGUGUGUAACAACUCACCUGCCGAAUGAAUUAGCCCUGAAAAUGGAUGGCGCUGAAGCGGGCGGCCGACACCGCGCCGUUCGAACGAUUUUAUGUUUUCGGAUGAGUAGGAGGGCGUGGCGGCCGUGUCGAAGCGCGCGUGCAGACGCGUGUGGAACGGCCGCUAGUGCAGAUCUUGGUGGUAGUAGCAAAUAUUCAAGCGAGAUCCUUGAAGGGCGAAGCGGGGAAGGGUUCCACGCGAACAUUGAUUGGGCGUGGGUGAGUCGUUCCUAAGCCGAGUGGUCAUUGCUAAGUAACGGCGAAAGGGAAGCGGGUUGACAUUCCCGCACACGGAUGUGGAGGCGGUGACGCAUUUUAUUUGUUGGGACAAACACGCUGGCGACGGCGCUGGGCAGAGUUGUCUUUUCUGUUUGACCGUGUGCGCGCGCAGUGUGGAAUCCGCUUGUCGGGAGAAACACGCGCGCGCGGGCAGAGCGCCGGGGCUUUUCCGGCGUCCAGCUCGCCGUCGACGGCCCUUGAAACUUUGUCUGCUGAUUUAAAUCCACGCCGUGGCGUACCGAUCACCGCAUCAGGUCCCCGAGGUGAACAGCCUCUGCUCUAUAUGAACAAUGCAGGUAAGGGAAGUCGGCAAAUUGGACCCGUAACUUUGGGAAAAGGGUUGGCUCUAGUGCUGCGUGGGAGUGGUUG
rnacentral:rRNA from 1 species